rnacentral:rRNA from 1 species
UACAGAGGUCUCAAGCGUUGUUCGGAUUCAUUGGGCGUAAAGGGUGUGUAGGUGGCGCGCUAAGUCGGGUGUGAAAUUUCGGAGCUUAACUCCGAAACUGCAUUCGAUACUGGCGUGCUUGAGGACUGGAGAGGAGACUGGAAUUCAUGGUGUAGCAGUGAAAUGCGCAGAUAUCAGGAGGAACACCAGCGGCGAAGGCGGCGCUCUGGGCCGGUACUGACACUGAGGAGCGAAAGCGUGGGUAGCAAACAGG